rnacentral:rRNA from 1 species
GGCUCAGGAUGAACGCUAGCGGCAGGCCUAAUACAUGCAAGUCGAACGCUCAGUAGCAAUACUGGGAGUGGCGCACGGGUGCGUAACGCGUACACAAUCUACCUCUAAGCGGGGGACACCUCCUGGAAACGGGGAUUAAUACCGCAUAAUAUGCCGAGGUCGCAUGACUUUGGUAUUAAAGCAGCAAUGCACUUAGAGAUGAGUGUGCGUCCCAUUAGGUAGUUGGUGAGGUAACGGCUCACCAAGCCUAUGAUGGGUAGCCGGUCUGAGAGGAUGGUCGGCCACACGGGCACUGAGACACGGGCCCGACUCCUACGGGAGGCAGCAGUAAGGAAUAUUGGUCAAUGGUGGAAACACUGAACCAGCCAUGCCGCGUGGAGGAAUAAGGUCCUACGGAUUGUAAACUCCUUUUGACGAGGAAGAAAGUGUUAGAUUUAUCUAAUUUUGACGGUACUCGUAGAAUAAGCACCGGCUAACUCCGUG